ACCUAGGAUACAUAUGAAAAAGAGCAAUUAAAUGUAAAAUUAGUGGGGUAGAUUCCAGGCAAAUUGUUAUCUACCUGCAUUUGUACAGACUCAUGCUGACAUCCUGCACACUCCAGCAUUAUUGUGGCAUUGCUUGGUUAUCCAGCUUCAGAGGUGCUCACUACAUGAAGUCCUCAGACUGCAUCAGUUAUUAAAUAAAUCGCAUAUAAACCCAGGAAAUAGCAUUUUAUUAUAGUUCACACAGAAGUCAUUGCAGGAAACAGGAAUAGCUCUGGACUAAUACUGGAAAAACUGAGGUCAUAUUAGGACUGCUUUCAUUAUGCAAUUUUUUUUCUGUUUGCCUUUGUGGGUCAAUUCAAGAAUGAAGAAUUUAUUCUCUAGUAUUGCAGCAAGAAAAAGAUUUCUAUCUGUGCCAUGCAGAAGAGCAAAUGAGAUAUUUAUUACUCAUUCUGGUACACAAAGAAGUCAUGAACUAGAGGGAACACUGUCCAAGAAAAGUCCCAGUUGAAUCAGUAGCUGAGAAUUACCCUGCAAAUACCCAUUUGAUUUCCUUUUCCUGUCAUUAGCUCAGCUCUUCGAACACAUUCAUAUGGUGGCUAUAGCUUCUGAAUAAUACUGAAUGCCUGAGCACAGUGAGGGAAAUGGCAAUAAAACACAGAUGCUGGCAAUAAAUGACAGAUGCUGGGCUGCUGGGGAGCAGGGGCUCAGCAGUGCCCGCAGCUGCCGCCUGCAGAAGCCCGAGGGGGCUUUAAGUUUGCCGAGAAGGGAUGUGGUCUCUGGUUCAAUAAGUAGGUGGUGAGAGCAUCCCCAUGAGCUUUGGGCUCUCUGCAGACAAGUGGAGCUUCCCAGGGCCACACUGGCUGCCCCAUGGCUGGAAACUGGUCCAGUGGGUGCCCAGCCCCAGCUAUGGCACCAUUUAGAAUGUUUCUCUAAUGUCCUGAUUUUGUAACCACAUUUCUUUGAGAGUGAACAAAAAGCCAAGACCCAUCUCAGGCAUUAUUGCUCAAAUGUAUUGGUUAAGUUUCUUUUCAGGGAGUGGAACAGGCUGCCCAGGGCAGUGCUGGAGUCACCAUCCCUGGAGGGCUGGACAGACGGACAUGAGGUUCUCAGGACAUGAGGCAGUGCCAGGGGUGGGUUAUGGCUGGACUCAAUGAUCCUGAGGGUCUCUUCCACCCAAAAUUAUUCUGGGACUGUGUGAUUCUAAGUUUCUUUUUGUGAAGUAUCAUUAACAAAACCUAAAACCAACUCGCUGUCCCACUGGUGGGGUAUCUCUUGGCAACCACUAGCAUUGUACUCCCUAACCUUUGGAGACCUAUAAUUAGACACAACUCUAAUUUGCCACUGAGGCAGCUAUACUAUUAUAUUUCCAGUUGGUUUAUUAGUUGAAUCUCUUGAUGCAUCCAGUUUACGAACCAAUUGUGAGAUCUGACCUGGAAUCUGAGGGAAAGUUUAUAGACCUGUGGGAAGGUGGACAAAUGAGCCUUGGGAUGGAGCCUUUGGAGAAGGACCUCAUUUGUGGGUCCUGGUCCUUCUGGGUGCCUGGAGUCCUUUCAUGUUCACCCACCGCUGUUUGCCUGUGAUGUCCUGCAGCAAUGGUGUGCUUUGGGGUUGAGUUUCUCUCUUUUCAGGUUUGACACAAGCCUCAGGUCACCGGAGUGUGUGAGCAAAAGGAAAAGCUGCAUCCCUCCAUCCCUCCGACUGUUAUCUAAGGCUGCCCGACAGAAUCAGCCAUCAAGGAUGGCAAACUGCUGGGUUUGGGCAACACUCAAAACAAUGCAAUUGAUGAAAACAGUUCCCAUAGGCUGCCAGCAGGAGUCCUUUGUCCGACCAUUAUCACCUAGAAAGGGUUUGAACAGUACCUUUGCCUUAAAUUCAGCAGAAAGAGGUGCCUGGAUGAUCCACUUCUGCCUGGGGGUCCUUCACAUCCCAGUGGGUGACUUCAAGUGAAGGAUUUUGCAUCAGUGAGUCUAAGUUCGCUUAGCAACUUCUCACAGUCAUUUUUUUAUCAACAUGCUGAAAAGAUGUAAUAAAUCAGGGCUGCAUCCCAAAGCUUUACUCAUUUCCUGCACAUGCAAAGUACCCAUCACCUUCAACUAUGGCUUUGCAUGACAAAGAAUUGGCUGGAGAUGACUAACAGCUCAGGAUCUGACCCUGUAUUUAUAUUUACACACUCAUAUCUCAAAGAGGAAUGACGUUUGUGAAGUGCCCAAAUAUUUUAAGAUAGUGGCAUAAUUUGUGUAAGGUUGCAUUGAAAGGGCUUGUGACCGAUCCCUGGGGGGGAUAAGGUUGUUAAGACCACUAAAAGGCUAAUUCAAUAAAAUCAUUAAUUUGCUAUGAUCUCAAAAGCAAGACAGACAUUUACAAAAAUAGACUGGGGAUGAUAUGGUGAAGAUUAGUAUAAAAGAAUAACGUAAACAAUUAAGAAUGAUACUGGAAAGACCAAGACACAAGAUGAGGUGCAGUGGAGAAGUGAUAUAGGGGUAAGGAGGAAAGACUCUGUAAAUCCAUGGUCAAAGAAGACUGAGGAACGAGUCCGCUCCCUGCAAAGUUUGCGGUACCAACCAACCGUCGGUGCCAAACCUGAAAGGCACACGUAGGGCUGGACAUGUGGCACGGCAAGAGCCACCAACAGGAGACCUCCAGUGAGGUUCCUCACUAGAAUAAAGGAAGAACUAGAUGGAUGUCGCUAGAUAAAAUCUGUGGGUUAAAAUUCCUGAGCUUCAAGAAGUUUAUCCAAGAGCACUUUGAAACUGGCUGAAGCAGAUUCAGAGAUAUUCGUGGUUAUCACCCAGAGUCUUAAAAGACACAUGGCAAAAGUUCCAGAAAACUUGAACUAGCAAAGGCGGGGCCUGUCUUUAGAAGUGAUCUGUCUUUAAAUUGGAUCAGUGGUGAAGGGAUCAGAGAUUUAGCUAAAUAUAACAAUGCCAUUUCUUUCAUAUUUGGGCGCUGAUGUCCUUAUGUAAAUUCUCAGUAUUCCUGAUGCGAACGCCUUGGGGCUUGUACUUCCGAGUUUUUCCAGGACAGCUGCCCAACAGGUCUGGGUGGCUGCUUUAGGCCUGGCCUGUUUUUUCCUUUGAUGAGAUGAUAGGAAAUGAUAAUUCUGAGUGAUUCCUACAAAAGAUAUCAAGCCAAUUUUUCAGAGAGUGAGAUUCCCAUUGCUUGUCGAGACUCGUUCUGUACCAGGUUGACUCACCCAAGAUUCACAUACACCUUUUCUCUUUUUGAAAGUGUCUGAGCCAACUUGUUAGUGGAAUUGUUUAUGGAAGAGGUAGGCAAAAUGUAGCCCAGUACUUCAGGUGAACUGUGAUACAGUUCAUCUUACCCUAGUUUUCCACAGUGAUUAACUAGAAAAAUGAUUCUGCGUUUUCUGUUUUGAGAAAAUCUUUGUGAAACCAGUGGUCCAGGUGGCUCUGCUUCACUGCUGAGCAUACAGGAGGUGGUGAAGAGGAGGGUUCAUCUCUGAGCAUUGAUGUCUGAUCAUUGGUUUGACCAUUUGUUUUGACACAGAGCAUCAAUUAAAUUAAGAUCUAUAGGAGCAAAACCAUCGGAAUCCACAGUGUGAAAGCUCAUACCACCCACUGGCUGGAAGUAGAGGAGAACCAAGCUGUGAUAUACAGCUGAAUUCUGAUUUAUCUUGUUACUCCAGCAAGCUCUCCUUCUUUGGAAAGGUGCAUUAAGAAUGUUGUAUCAUUUUCCUGGAUUGCAACUUGUUUCUGUGUACAUUUUCUUUAAUCAUGUUUUUGAGGAGAUCAAUUUCAUGCCUUGAAAAAGACCUUUGCUCAUUUUCCAACUGAUUGCUGUUGUGACAAACCAAACAAACCAAAACGAACAGAAGUUUUCCAUGUGAACAAAAGCAGAUUCCUCCAGUGAACCUGUCUCAUCCAGGUAUUCCAUCCAUCCUUUUUUGUUCGCUUAAGAAGUUUGAGAGGAAGACAGCGACCAAUGCCUGGAUUCACAGCAGAACUUCAUUGUGUCCUCAUGGAACAUUUUAAUUCCGAGCUUCUGGGCAUUGGGUCCUAUAUUACACCCCAGGAUUUGGCAAUGAGGCCAUGGACUCUUCUAAUGAUGAGCAUCAGAAAAAGGUGCUGAGCAGCCAGUAUAGCUGGAGGAGGCGCCCAGAAGCAGCCAGUCCAGACACUAAGGAGCUCGGCGUGUUUUUCACAUCUUCCCUUCUUGGAAGCUUUGGCAUUUCAGAUAAUGCUGCUGGUGUUUUACAUAACACUGCCAUGUACUUUGGGCAGGAACUGGAGUUUCUGGCUGGAAGGUGCCUUCCCAUGUUCUGGUCGGUUGUGUCAGGGUGUCCUGCCUUCCAAGCCACGGCUGCCCCAGGAGAUGGGAUCAUCACAGACGGGAUCGCCUCCUGCCUCCCUCCACCCCUUUCGCACUAUGAUUUACUGGCUAAAACUCCCAUCCAGAAUGUGGCAGAACCAGGUUUGAUUUCCUCCUUCGCCACAGGGCAUUUAGAUGUUUAUCUCUCGUGGGUGUCCCAACCAGCUGGCUACAGGUUGUGCUGAGGCGGGGACACUUUUCGUAUCACCUAAAGAAUCUGGGGCACAGUGUAGGAGAACAGCUGACACCCUGGGCAAGGGGCAGGGAUCAGGAAAAGGCUCACGGGUCACAACACAGGUAGUUGUGGGUGUUUUCUGGGGAAAAACGGUUUCGAUAGGUGCUCCAAAUGCUGUUUGGAGACAUCUGCUCUAGUAACUUCAACAGAACUGGGAGAUGUUCCCAGGUACUGGAGCUCAGUUCUUGAGACAGCCGCAGUGGCUCCCAGCACAAUUUGGGUGCCUGCCCACGCACACCCUCCUGAACAGUGGUGAGCAUGGCCAGAUGCUGCAAGGAUGGGUUGAGGGCUCCGUGCCUGAGAUCAGUCUGGGGCACAGCCCUAGUCAGGCAUCCCCUUUACAGACGUAAGAUUAAAGAGUCUUUGGGUAAAGAACAGAGGAAUGAGAGCGCAAAGUCGGGUCUGAAGCCACAGGCUCCUCCUUUGGAGAAGGGGGCUGCCAGCACGGUCCUGCGGAGCUCCCACCACCAGCACCAUCCUCCAGAACCAAGCCAGCAGCUUCUGUCCCUCGAAAUUGCUCUCCUGAGACACUUUACAACUUCCAGCUAAUACCAAUUUCUCAUUUGUUAUUGGUAUGGUAUGUUAUUGGUAUGCUGUUCUAAUUUGAGAGCUACACAGAAAUACCUCCUACUCUUAAAGAAAUGCUUCCUUUCAAAACUCCUCCUGGAAUUGUGUCAAAGAAUACACAGAAGAGAGCAAAUUUGAAACGCAGGUUAACACUGAAUAUCCUGACUGUAAUGAAGUGGUAUUAGCUUUUGUUUAGUUUAAAAGAACAACUACUUACAUUUGCUGGAAAACGCAGCCAGGAAUAUUUUUCUGCAUCACUGUGUUCUGUGUAUGGUCUGCAGCGGAGCUAAAAUGUGCCGUUUCUCUUGGAUUGCUUCCUGGUUUUUAUAUAUAGCAUCACGUAUUCAGUACCACGUCAGAGCACGGGGCUACGCUAACAGAAUUUGUUUUGCUGGGCAACAUCCCCAGAGCUGGUUUCACAAGAAUGACUCGCCUGAAUCAUGGCAGCUAUUAAUUUUCAGCUGUCUGGAAAAACUGAUGCCCUGCGUGGAAGAGGAGUCCCAGACACUUCCUCAAGUACGUGCUUGGCGAUGGAGCAGAUUACAGGGUCUGAUCCUGACCCCGUCUGGGCGCUGCGUGAGCUAACACAGAUUAUCCAUGAGUACAAAAAGUUAUUUAGUUCCAAGGAAAGAAAAGAUGACCCCUGGCAUGAAAAGCAGCGCUAAUUCGAGCCGGAUUGGGCUAUCCCCGAUGAGUGUUUGUGUUGGUGUUGCCUGGGAUACCUGGCUUUGAUGCUGAUUGCAUUUACACUAGCAUUCUUCUCCAGGUAUGAUGUCGGUUAAGGCGAGUUCAUCUGCGUUUCAGGGCAGGAGAGUCUCUUCAUGAGGUCUUGGUGCAGUGGGAGAGCGGAGGAGCAUCCCGCAGACAUGGUGGAGAAUAGCAAACCGGUGUGUUCACAGCCACACGGACACGUACCGCAGCUCCGGCCUUAUCGUGGACACCGAUCUCACGCCCGGAGUCAGCACAUAAAGGCUGUGAAUUCCAGACGGUGACGCUGCAUCGGUUUCUGACCGCCGGGGAGGGUUUGCUGCUAGAAAAGAUAAAGCAGCUGAAACCCAGGGGCUGCCGGACAACCUGGGACCCCGCGGGGACGCGGCCGUGCUGGGUUUGCGGGGUGCGCUGGGGACGGGACAUCUGCCCAAGCCAGAGAAAGCCCCAAAGGAAAGAGAUUUGACUGGUUGGUGAUUGAUAUAAUUUAUGCUUUGAUUUGUGUGUCUAAGUAUUUAUUUUUGUAUUUGACUUUCAUAAGAACAAGUCAGCUCUUGUCAGAGGCUUUCCAUAGCAGUUUUGGUUUUUACAACUACCAUCUCUUUUAUAUUUGCUUACUUUGCUGGGUGCCCGGCUGAUACAACACAGCUGUCGCCUGCAAGAGCAUGAGUUCUGCAAACAAGCUACACACUUCCUCAGCAGUUUGAAUUUCAUCAUAACUUGUGGAAAAGAGAAGGCAAACCCUUCUGUUUCUCCAGGGCACCACCCAUUUCGUCACCAACUCUGUGAAAACAAGAAUAAAGUGAUAAAAUCCCGGGGAAGGGGAGGUAUCUCCCUUGACGCAAGCAGAAUGAACACAGCAUCUCCGACUGAUUUCUGCAAUGGCAUGAGAUGGUUCCCAGUAUUUUUCCAUAGCCUGUUUAUUUUACGCUACACCUUUGUUUGAAGGCUCUGGCCAGCUCCAUACAUUGAUUAGUGGUGCUCUUUACAGCUGAGGACUUGUAAGUUUCUUUCCUUGACAACUGAAAUACAAUUUAAUUCAAUUAGAAUUCAGCAAGAGGCAAGAAAAUGUUCGUUUUCUUCAGUGCGCUGUACUUUUGACAGCUGCGGAUUCCCAGCACUCACACCUGACAAUAAACAAACACACGGCAUGAAGCACGUGAGGAGGCAGAAACCCACAUCCCCCAGCUCGCCACAAAAGAGAACUGAGCUCAUUUCUGUGGUCUUCUGAUAGGAAUUGUGUUGCCAAAUUUGGAGCUGCAUCCUGCACACAGCCUAUAUUACUAUUCCUGAAAGCAACCCAAAGAGGCAACAUGAAUGUCUCCAAGAGUUGCUUUGCAUCCAGCCCUCCCAAGCAGAGGGAAAAUGGGAACGAGUCGUGUCACUGGGAGUAGCGGCUCCACUCACUCCAUUGCUUCACCUCACAAGUGUUUUUGUUAUUUUGUUCACAUUUGUGUGAUAACAUUGCCAGGAACUGAACAUAACAAGGCUGCUGCAUCCUCAGGCUUGGUCCACUCGCAGCUGUUUGUUGUUGCAUCCAGCGGCGACAGCAAAUUUACUUCUUGGAGUGAUUUUGGUUGAAUUUUGUCAGCCCGAGCAUCUCCAGUCGCUGAUGCUGUUGGGCAGUCGGGCACAAGAAGAAAGCAGUUUGUGCUGGGUGUGAGCUCGGGGUACCAGCCACGUGCAUCCCAUCAUCCACCCGCAUCCCAUCAUCCACCCGCAUCCCAUUACCACCCGCAUCCCAUCAUCCGCCCUUGCACAGCUGGCAACUUGAUGAUCUUGAGGGUCUCUUCCCAGCAAAAUGAUUCUAUGAUUUGAGGUUCUAUGGCUGGCAAACUGACAUGGACACGCAGACGUGCAGUUGCUGCUCCUGUUCUGGAGCGGAUUCAACCCAGAUUUGCCAGGAAAAUGUUCUUCGCUGUCUUGGGGGCCCUGGAGGAGACACAUACAUUGGUCCCCUGGACUUCCUUUGGGAACCAUUUCCUCUAUAAACGUUUGUGACGCUUCCCAUAAAAUGAGCCUGAUUUCUAUUUUCUCCUGAGGAAAAAUAGAGGCAAUAUCAAGGGAAUUGUUUCCCAGUGACUGGGAAUGCAUUGGAAGAAAAUAUUUGCAAAUGUGUUUCUCAGCUUGUCAUGAGUUGUUUCCCAGGGUUAUCUUGGUCUGAAGUUGAGACUUUCUUUGGGGGUUUUUGGAGGUUUUCUUCCUGAUAUCUGGGGGUUCGUUUGCCUUGUUUAUUUUUGCUUUUUAAGAAAGGUUUUGUUCAGGUUUGUAAAUUGAAAUAGAAAUUAUCAUUGGGUAAAGAAUGGUGAACCGCUGGAACCGAAAAUGCAGUUGUGAACUGAAAACAGCCCAUGAGGUCUAGACAUGUUGCAAAUGGUCGAGUUUAGUAGAAUGAGGUUCCUGUUUCCCAACAGCACCAGGAAAUAGAAGAUUUGCUCAGGUCUUGUCGCGUUUUAAUUUGGGAUGGUGACCUCCAGAUGAGGCACCAGCCUGGACUGGGCCUUGCAGGUCCCGUACAAGCGGAAUUAAUGUUGUCCCGCGUCUCCUCAAAUGCGUAUUUGCCUGGAGUAAGGAUGUUCUCCAACAUUUAUGCCUUUGUGGCAAAUGGAAGCAAAGCAAAAGCUCAUUGUGGUGGUGGGAUUUAAAUGCAUAGGCAUUGGAAAAGCCUAAAGGAGUAUUUGAGAUGUGGAGUUUAGCUGGAGCGUGGCGGCGUUUGAGGAGGUGGCAGUGGUUACCAUGGGUUAUCUUCACCCGCCAUAGGGAAAAGAUAGUUGACAGAAAGAAAAAUGUAUUAUUUCUUCAACAAAAGAUCCUAGGAGCUAUUUAGAGUGUAAUUGUUGCAUAAAAGAAUGAAAAGAGGAAACUAGUUCCGUGCUACUCCCGUAUCAGUAGAUGUAUUUUCUUUGUGACAGGUAUUAGGAAAUUGUUUCCUAGUGGGAUCACACACAUGGACAAAAAUAACUUACAUAGAAAACCAUUUAAUUAAGAGAGCAACCUAAUUGCACCAUUGCCAGACUUCAGGCACCCUGAGCAACCUCACUGGGAAUCCUAGAAAAACACUUCGGAAACACAGUUGUCCUAAGGGAGUUAUUUAGGCCUCUUUAAUGCUUUGAUUGUUUUAAUAUUGAAAAAUUGGCCAUUGUCCAUUAUUGCCAAGAUUUCUUUGUGUUCGUAUUUAGCAUUUUUGACAGUAAAUAAUGUAACUACAUCCAGGCAGGUUGAACCUGGCAGUGCAGUCACUGGGCAGCACAUGCAGAAAAAUGAGUGUACGGGCAGCUCUAUGGAUGGAAGGGCUGCCAGAGACUGCAUGUCCUGGAGAGGAGACUGAAUAUCGGAGGCUUUCAUGUUCAACACAGCGCCCAAAGGCAGCACAGCUGCUCCUCCUGAGCAAUCACAGGUUUAUAUAGUUCCCCUGCUCAGGAAGGGGCAGGUGGGGUUGUUGGUAACUGCCUGGUUGAGGUUGAGAAGGUCGGUUUGGUUUUGAUCAGAUCAGGUGGUGUUUGGGAAAGGAUGGAGCUAUUUCUGUCUCCAUUAAUCCUGGCCAAAUAUGCUGCUCCUUGUAUGAGGAAACAAACAAGGAGUUAGAGGUGAGAAUAUUGGCACUUUUCUAUUUCCUCAAGCCUUUGCCUUUUCUUAUCUGCACCAUUACCUAUUGGCUUUGCUUUCCCACUGCAGCUCACACGGGGUGCUGUAGCAGCAGCGCUGUGGGUUCCUGCUUGAGCUGCUACUGUUCUUUUGCUUCUUGUCUGUAAUAGUGAUGCUGUAACUCUGAAAACAGCUUGGGGGCAGCACAAAUGCUUAUUAAACAAAAAUUAAACAUUCAUCCUGAUCUCCUCUUUCAUUUGUCAUAUCUCUCCUGCUCCUUGUUUUAUGUGUGGCUAUUGCACUGGUUUGGUUUGCAGGAGUUUGUAACAGACGUGGAUAAAAUUGCAGUUAAAACUGAGCUAGUUUCAGUACUGUAAAAAAUCUCCGGUUCACUGCAAACACCGUGUAGGUUUUUCAUGGCAAAGACGGAGCUUUGGGCGAGUUGCUUGAGACAAGUAAACCAAAGAGAGCGGUGGAAGAGCAUCGUAUGGGCUGGGACAGCCGGAGCUCCUGUGAUCCAGGGCAACAGAAAGGAACGUUUCGAUUGCUUCUCAAAACAUUCUGGUCUUAGAUCAGAGAAAGUUGGUAUCGGAGUCUCCAGGGCUUGUCACUUGGCAGAUCACAAGUCUGUUGAAGCUGAUAAAAGAUCAGGAGAGAGUCUGGGGGUAGGAAAAGUAACAGAUAUUUUAAUGGGGGAAUUACCAGAAAUGUGUUGGUUUGGGUUGGUUUUUUCUUCGUUCGUUUGUUUGAGGCCACACCAGUGGAUUUCUGAAGAAAAUUACUUUUACUGCCAGCUGAAACUGCAGACCAUGUGUUACCUGCCUCCCCAAAACCCUGCCAAUGGUGUCCGUGACAAUCACCACAACCCGCCCAGAGAAGACUGCAGAAUUCUCAAUUUUCUGCAGUUUUGUUGGGAUUUGGGGAUUCCAAUAAUUAAUUUGGGGGGAUUUUGUAAUUUUAUGGGGAUUUUUAAAAAUCUUCUCUUUUGAAGAGAGCGCUGGGACCUGUGAAAUAGGACCUAGGACCCAUCUGCUGUUCCCCACAGCAGUCAGUGCAGAAGUACUGAGAGCUGGUCCUCACCAGGGAGAUGUGGUGGGUACUCGAGCUGGUUUCUGCACUAACAUGACCCUAUGGAUUUGCUAGAACAGCUGCUGCCUCCCAAAUCUCUGAUGUUUGUAAAACAAAAAUAAAGGCUAAAUAAUGAUGAUCCUGUUCUGUGGAGCCCUGCUGAGCCUCAGCAAAAAAACAGUGUGGGAAAAACUGGAAAGAAAACACAACACAGAAAUAAUAAUGCAUACAAGGACCACUAAAUAACUAAUGGAACAGACCAAGGCUUCAGCGGAACGGAGGGCUUAUGGUUUCUCUGCGAGUUUGGAAAACAUCAGCUUGAUGCUUUUUAAUUCUGUUCUAAUGCAGAACUUUGAAGGUGGGAAUGAGAAGCGGGAAUUUGAUUUUGGAAGGCAAUGGAGGAACAUGAACGUGGGCAGAUGAAUCGGAAGACAAAGCAGAAGUCGGUUGUUAGGUGUCACUUUGGGCGGGCACAAAAUGAAGAGCAGCCACCGGGCUAAGCACAAGUAUCUCAACAAACACCCUUUAACAUCAAUGCCCUGUCAGUCUCAGCCUGUAAGUUAAGCAGAAGUUUAGCUGAUUUAUCCUAGAACCACUCAGAUGACCAAAAAAGGCCAAUUUUCCUGAUGCAGGAUGAUCUUCAGGGAGCACCAUAAAUCUCUCAGAUAUGCGCAGUUUUCAGGGAAGUCUGAAUUCUCUAGAGAAGAGGCUGGAGUUGGACACAGGUUUUUGUGUCGGUCCAAAGUCAGAAGUCACUUCUGAGGCUGACCUUGCAAAACCAACGUGGUUUUGCUGCACCAAAAGCCAUAAAAUAAUCAGAUACCACUGUGCUGGUGUGCUUUAUAUCAACAUGUACUUUGAAUGAAAUGAAACCUCCUAAAACUGGCUUCAGGGAGCCCAUAGAAAGUUGAGGAAAGAACUGUCUCCAUCAGUGGGCACCGACUGGUGACCUGCAUCCUGUAAGUCACAAAAUGAUGGACCAGAAGCAUCACAGGGGUGAUUAAGACGUUGCUUGGCAAUGGAUAACAAAUUCCAGUCUUUAUAGGCAGUGACUAUGACACUCCAUUUGCUCUUUGCUUCUCGGAACUUGGAUGUUUACUGGAAGAGACUAAAAAGGCAUUAAUUCCAACAUGAGUACAUCUCCAUUUUGCCAAAGCUCUGCUGAUAUCUGCUGGACAGGGUAUGUUAUUUGUCACCCCCCAUGGGAGACUGGUAGAGUUUUUUUCAUUUUCAUUCUCUUUUCUUGAGUAACAAGUGACAGGAUGAGAGGAAACGGCCUCAAGUUGCGCCAGGGGAGGUUGAGGGUGGAUUUAGGAACAAUUCCUUCCCCAAAGGGCUGUUGGGCAUUGGAACAGGCUGCCCAGGGCAGUGCUGGAGUCACCAGCCCUGGAGGGCCGGAUAGACGGACAUGAGGUUCUCAGGAUAUGGGGCAGUGCCAGGGGUGGGGUAGUGGUUGGACUUGAUGAUCUUGAGGGUCUCUGCCAACCAAAAUGAUUCUAUGACAUCAAAACAUCCAUUGCUUUUGAGUUAAUGAAGAGCAAAUGCCCGUUCAUGAAAACUCCUGCAGGUGCCCGUUGGCAGAUCCUGUGCAACACCUACAGGAAAAUCCUCUGGGUUUCAGUCCAGUGGAAAACAAAGCGUCUAACCAGAGGCUGGCAGUUGUACGUGGAGCUGAGCAGGGGGAGCGUGAGGGAAGGAAAAGUGUGAUCCUCUUCAGCCCAUUUUUCUCCUUUUUUGAGAGAUUCUUAAAUCUGCAGAUAUAUGCCUUCCAUGAUACUUAGCUUGCUCAGUAAAGCCAAAAUCAACUUUUCGUCCCGCAGACAGUGGCAAUGCGCAAAGCAGCUGAAUCAGGGCAGAAAAACAGUUGCUUCCUUCUCCAGUGAGGGUUUUGGGUUUUGUUUUGAAUAAAAAAGCACCCGCUUCUCAGCAUGUCAGAUAAGAGAAGCUGCAGAGAGCAGCGGGUUAUAUAAUUAUAGGGCUCAGUUCACAGCCCAGGGAAGGCACUUCUGGGGCUGAUUAGAAGUUUAUAACUUAAUUAAAUCCCAGUGGAAAGUAUGGGGCAGAAAUAUGGGAAGUUUUGAAGCAGUGGAUAGCAAAGGGAUAAGAGAAAAAGCAGCUCGGCAUGGUGGUAAAUGCCUCACAAGUAUUCUCUCUGACCGAGAAUGCGACACCAGUGGCAUUCAGGAAAUAAGAGGAUGUAACUAUUAAAGCCCAAACUUCUACUAUUUCAUAAAACUUCCUGGUGAUGUCUUCCACCAUCUGUUCCAGAAGCAGAAAUACUGAAGGUGGACACUGGGGGCUGUGAGAGCAGAUUGCUGGGAUCUAAAGUCUCCCUAUCUGAAUCUCAGACUUGAACAAAGAGCCUGUUGAGUAUGUCAGCAUUCACCAGCGCUGUUCUCUUUACAGUUAUCCUUUUAAAUCAACAGGAGAAAUAAAAAACAAAUGCAACAACCCCCCCCCAGACCAAACGCUAGCAAGAAGAGCACUUGAAUGCUUAGAGAACAGGAAAUUUCUACCAGUGUUUCCUCUGGUGUCUUCACCCACUUUACUUUGCAUAUCUGCUGAUCUGUAUUGAUUAUUCUCAUGCUGGAUGUCUCAGUUCUUGUUGCCUUAAAUUCUCCCAAUGCAAUUGCAAAUCCUACCCUUGCAUUAGUUGUUAGAUGAGGCAAAAUGUUUCUCUGUUGCUGUGUUGCUGUUAUGUGCUGCAGUUUAUUUUGAUUCCAAGUCAGUUGUUUUGGUCAUUUUCUGUUUGGGUUGGCAUUAGCCCCUGGAUAUUUUAGCUCGUUGCAAACCCCUCUGCACCAGCACGGAGGUGCAUGUUUAACCAUCGUCACAGCUUGCAGCCUCCUUUCUCUGAGGGCUUAAUUAGGCUUUUGCCAUGUUGGUUUUGCACUUUUUUUAAUGAUACCCUUCUAACAUCUUAUUUUUCUCCCCUCUCAUGCAGGGUCUAUGUUGUAGGAAAAUAGGAAAUUAGGAUUUUAGGCCUAUAUCAGUGUUAUAAGCUGUGCUGCUAAAGCUGAAAGUCUCAGCUUGUCCCCUGUAUAGCCCUUACCCAGAACCAUGAGCGUGGUUACCUUAUGCUUGCUUUGUACCCUUAGUUAAGACAUUGAUAAAUACUAUUCUUAGGGUUGCUGAUUUCUAUGCUAGACUGGUGAACUAUGGAUAACAAAUGAGACAGGUGGAACUUCAAAAGAAGCUAGCCCUGCGACUGAUGGCCUGUCGUUCUGUACUUGCCAAGAAAGAAGAAGUGGAACCUGCAGACCACUGGAACGGAAGGAACCUGAGGAUAUCGACAGUGAUAGAUAUCGACAGUGAUAGACAGUGAUAGAUUUUGUUUAGUUGCAUAAUACCUGUUAGAACCCUAUAUAAUGACUAGUUAUACUGCUGUAUGAUUGUCACUCUCUGAGGAGGUGACCCAACGCUGCUGUUCCUGUGAAUCUUCUACAAUAAAUACUGCUCAGAGUAA